ensembl:lncRNA
AGGGUAUCUCAUCUGGAGAUCCCUGCCUGCUUGAAGUCUUCUGAAGAAUCGUGAAGAUGUAAAUGGGGAAGGCCUGGCCGCACGAGAGCCGCACGUGGGCCUCCCGCCCUGCCUGCGCCAAGGGCCGCUCGCUGGACCUGGCAGCACUCCUGGAUGGGCUUCUUCCAACAAGCUCCUCUGCAGCACCCGCUGCCACGGCCAAAUUCAGGCUUUGUUUCCUCCAUAGACUUUCACUACUUCUUGGGCUUCCCUCAUAGCCCUCUUCCUUCCUCUGAUGUUGCGUCUAGGAGGUUGGGUUCCUGCUGCUAUGCUUCUCCGCUCCCUUCUGUAGAGAUGCCAUCCUCAGAUGCCUCUUCUUCAAGCCUGGCUUUUCUUUCAUUCUUCCCACACUGUACUGGGCUCUGUAUUGUGUGGAGAAAGGAAACAUUUGCCCCUGGAGACCCAGUCACUGCUGGGCAGCUCAGGGGAAAUGUCUGUGGAUGAAAACCUGGUGUCAGCAGUUGCGGCUUGGAGUGGGUUGCAGCAUCUACCUGAGCUGGCUUGGCAGCCCAGAAGUUUUACAUAAUCGUGUUUUAAGACGUUUUUAAGUGCAGAAUGACAUUUUGAGGCUGGACCAGAAGCGAUAAAGGCAAUGGCAAAAAUAAUGAGUGCAUUAAGGUGACCAGAUUAUGCAUUCGUGUGUGGGAAAAAUAAGCAGAAGGUCAUGCAAAAAUGUGAUUCUCCCAUGUCGCUCAGCAGCUCAGUCCUCACUGCCAGCAGAAGCUGCCUUAUUGCAAGCAGCACAGCUGCCAGCACAAGGAGACUUGGGAAGCAAAGCCAACAGGUGCUCACUUCAAGGAGUUGCAUGUUCACCAACUGAGGAGAAUUGUAAUGUGCUGCUAAAUAACCUCAAAGCAGGUUUACUGAGUGUAAUGUGUCUCUUCUAUCUUCUGUCUCCUUUCACAUCAUGGGCACUGUGCACUUGUUGGAGGGAAAUGCCACCUGUGGCUCUGCCUGUCCUCAAACAGGCCAAUAGUCAGUCCCACCUGCAUCCAAUCCCCAUGCAUGGGACCUUCUAAAGCUAUGACUGGGCUCCAUCUGUGUGCACACGUGCUGCACUUAACCCGUCCUUUGGCAAUGUCACUGACAUCAGCCCAAUUACACCAGCCAUGAAUUGGACCCUGUUUACACUCUGAAACUUCCAUAGCUUACAGCCAAAGUUCAGACUGUUAUACAAUGAAACCAUUCACACGUCUCAUUAACUCUGCACUAUGCACUGAAAAUAACCAUGCCACGUGAUUCUGUGAUUUUCUCAGUUUAUAUCAUUUAUAAGUGCUUUUUCCUCUUCAUAACAGCAACUCUCAGUAUUGGAAACAUUUUAGGCUGUCGAUGUAGCAAAAGUGCUUUGUAGAGCACAAAACAGUAACUUCUUGGUGUUGUAUUAAUUGUCUUCGUCUUAAAUAAUACAAUCCAUGAAGGUAUUUUAAACCCAAGCUCAAAGACGUAGGCAUGUGGCCAACUGCUCUGAGACACCAGUGCGCCUGUGGUUGUAUAUUUUAUACUUUUUGAACUUUAUUUUUAUUCAUUUCUAAUUUAUAGUGGCAGUAAAGCACAAUCCAAGUUUCUGAGUAAGCAAAGUGUACAAGCACUUGGAAUUUAAUAAGGUUAUACUGUUGCCUACACAUGGGAAGACACAAGAGUCUUCUCCUCAUAUGAUUUAUAUUACUGUAUUUUCUCUGCUGAGUGCCAGCAACGAGCCUUGUGUUGUACAUGACUGUGCUCUUGUAUAAAGGUUUGUAUAACAGAUCCAGCACAUGAAUAUCUGGAAAUCACAAAGCGCUUGCAAAGUAAAGCACAUGUUUCCAGCCUUGAGAGGCACAAUAGAGGGAUUGCUGCAGAGAUGGCUCUGGGGGGUUGGUUUUGGUUUGUGCUGCAGGGAAGAAGAAAUGGUGGAUGCUAGAGCUCAAAACCUAUUCCAAAAGAGGCAGAGGUAUAAUAAGUCCCACAAAACAAAGCAGAGAGAUGGGCUGGGCCAGGAUAAAGAAACAAAUGAGCUGCCAAGGCUGGUAUUAACAAUGGAGUGUAGCACAGAGAAAUGUAGACGAGCAAACCUUUCACUGGGUGCUGAAAGGGAGGAUGUGAGAUGGCCACAAGUGUGUGUGAGGAAGGAUGCACAGGUGGAUGAUGCAUUUAGAGCAAUGUCAGUGUAAGCAAAGCUUUGUUGGCAAUCAUUUCAUCCAUCUGCAAAAGUAACGUGGGAAGUCAUGAAAAAGAGACUGUUGGCAGCUCAGUAUGAGAGGACAUACCUUGAAGUAACGUCAGGUCAGAGGCAUGUUAGGGCAGAGGAUGUCUCAGGUGCUUGUGACUGUAUGGCAUGGAAGAAGGGCAUAUGUUUGAUCACAGGUUAGAUAUGUUUGGGAGAAAAAAAAAACAGAGAGAGCUGUUCACAGAUCCUGAGCCUAGGGCAAAUAGAAAUAUUGCUAGAAGUAAGUAAAAGGAGCCUAUUUCAUAUUGCUAGAAGGAAGUAAAAAGGAAAAGGGUUUGGGAGGAAAAAUUAGAGACCUCCUGUUCAUCUGUGCUCAACUCAAAUCCCUGGUGACCCAUCCUUGAGCAAUGUGUCAGAGACAGACUGAAAGAAAGAAUGGAAGAAGAGGCAGGUGGGGAAGCAGAUUUGUAAGCUGCCAUCAGCAAAACAGCAGAUACAGCUCAGAGGAGAUGGGGUGGCCUCCUCAGCAUGCAGCUUCUAUUCUCUCCAUCCGUAUCCUGCUCUGUUGCAAUGAGCAUUCAUCUUGCUAUAAGUAAGAAUAAUAACUUAAAGAGAAAGUCCCUCCUUUGGCUGCUCAUCAUUUCACCCCUCCUGAAGCUAAACUAUUUUUAUGUGACUGAUGAUUGAUUUCUUUUCGAGAAAAACAGUCCCAAAAUGUGGUGCACAAUUAUUGCUGCAGCAAAUCUUCUGGCGUUCAUUUCCCAUCAUCCAUUGACAUCCACAAUCACUCCCACUCCUUGAACAAAGAAAGGAGAUGGGCAGAUGGAGACAUUCAGCAGAAUUCAGGUCUGUUUUCAGGUCUAAAUCGUGAAGUACUUCAGUAAUGGUUUUGAUGUAUUCAAUAAAACCUGUACCUAUAUAUGUUAUGCAAGGAUCAAAGCCCUGCAAUGAGGCUACGUUGUACUUUUCCAUCUGUUUCAAAACUCCCUCACUAAGGUACAUGGCUGAAGAGGUCACCUGUGUUUGAUUUGGGAAUUAUAAAGUUUGUUCAUGAAUUAACUCGGAAGGCAAGCCUACAAACGAAACAGAGAGGGCUUGAAACAUAGGUCUGCUUGUAAAAUGCAUGUUGAAAAGCCAUUUUGAAAGACAUCCUAAAAUCUGCUCUUAUCUUGUUGCCAAGUCAUCAGUGGUUUGACCCACAUAUCAGAACUCUCCUUAAAAAAUAAUAAUUCAAAAAAACUUCAGAAGAAUCUAUUUACGCAGGAAAAGGUCUUUCAAAACAGCUGCACAGGGGCCAGGAUCAACAUCUGAACACGGGCUGAGUUGUUACAUAUUUAGAAUUAUUCCUUUCAUUAGAGGCAUGAGGGCUAUCUCAGGCAUCCUGGGGACUGAUUUGGAGUUGAGACGUCCUAAAGCAGUGACUGCCUCGCUGGGUCAAAUCCUGCUUCUGUACAUGCAAAGCUUCUAAUUCCAUCUCAUUUCCACACUUGCUGCCACUCAGGACUCUAUUAAGGUGAACCCACCAUUUCCAGUGCCACUCUGCUGUGGCUGUAGUGGCUGCACCGCUGAACUGGUAUGAUUCAGAUCUUCUGCAAGGAGAUGAAACCCACUUGGAGGACCACCAAACUUUUUUCUGUCUGAUGUUUGCCUUUCCAUUCAUGCAGUGAGCAGACACAUGGAGAAAACAGUGAUUGCUCCAACGAGAUGCCUGGGGUUGGGUGCCUUGUGUGUGCCAACUCUUGCUGAGCUCUGAGCAAUUAGGUAGCAAUGAAGCAUCAAGGUGAGGAAAAGCACAAACUAUUGGGAACAAAGAAAACAUGACCUUAAGCAGAAGGAUUGCAGAGUGAGGGCAAUGGAGGCUGGUGCCAGAGUGAACGGGAGUCUGCAGAGAAACACUUUGAGAGCGUGCAGUGGGAUUGCACUGCAGGAUGUCAGAACGAAGAAUUUUUCUUUAUUGUUUCAAAAAGGAUUUUUUUUUAAUGACAGAAACAUCUGGGUCAGAAAAUGUAGCAGGCUGAAAUAAAGCAUUUUGCUUCGUUUUGUUCUCUCUCCACUCAUUCGUGCACUUUCUGCGUUCCUUCCCAUGCAG